rnacentral:misc_RNA from 1 species
CUCAUACUUUGCAGGUAUUAUUUUGCAACUCAACAAGUUGACAUUACAAACCUUACUAUUAAAGAAAUUUUGAGAUUUUGACAUCUCAAACCAUUUGAUUAUAAAAACCGAGUUUAGAAUUUGUCAGCUUAUCUGAAAAUGACAAGCACAAAUUAAGACCAAGCAUGGUUCCUGAUUUGAACUAUUCAACAAUUCCAUGUAUAGGGGGAAAAUGCAAUAAAGCUAAGCAACAAGUUUACUGCCUUACUUUCGUUUCAGAAAGCGUCACACCUCAAGUCGUACUUAGGCAUGAAACAAUUUGUCAACAUUCUUUUCUCCUCCCGUUACGUUGCUAUUCCACAUUGAUAUAUUGUUUGAAAUGAAAAUGCGGUGAGAGCUAAUCAAUGCAGAUAUCUGCAGCUCAUUAGGCACAUGGUUCUUCUCAAUGGCAAGGGCUUUGGUAGCUAUUCCAGUGGGGAUAAAAUGAAGUCUUUAGCACCGCUUGUGUUCUUUGGCACAACAAACAGAAUGCUUGAUAUUAUCAUGGAAGUUUAUCAACGUGAAAGAGAACAAGCAGAACGCCAACCAAAGUUACUAGAAGACCAAAAUUCUGUAGCCGAAGCAUCUUUUUCAGAUACGGGAUCUGAAUCUUGAUCCCAAGCUGGUAUAGGCAUAUGAUCUCAUGCUAGUUAGCUUUUCAACUUGAUUGGCAUGAGAAUCAGAUCUCUUUUUGAUAUACUUUUGUAGAAAUUCAGUGUUCACUUUGUUGCAGCAUUAAUUCUCUCACAAGUAAUUUUUUUGAAAUUCCACAUUUUUCAAAUUAUAUGGACUUCAACAUUACUAUCUGGUUCUGAUGCACGGAACUGACACAGAGACCAUUUCAAACUUUCCAUUCUCCAUAUCUAGACUGGUAUUUACAUUUACUUCAAACUUCAAAGGGCUGUUCUUCCCUUGUUGCAACAGCAUCUUUAGAAGAAUUAACCAAAUCAGGCGGAAGUCAACCUUUUUAUGAUGAUGGUGUUUCCCCUCAACUUGUUGGCUCUUAUCUGCACCUGAUGAGCAAGAAUCCACCACUGCUUUCCCAAUAGCUUUAGGAAUAGUCUCUUUGCAAUGAUCUUUCUGAUCACAGUUUUGACCAUUCUUUUGCCCUUUAUAGCAGGAAUAUACUCUCUCAGCCUUGAUGUUUCCAAACAAGAGCUCGGCAGCCUUGUUUCUUACAAAUAGUGGCAGGUAUUCUGAUUCAUCCCACACAUAUAACUGCAGUUGACAGGAAUGAUAAAAUGCAUAUUAACAUAAAGCUAGUGAAAUGGCAGAAUAAGCUCUAAAGCAAAAGAUGAAGAUCGCAAGAUGUCAAAGGAAUUUAUAAAACAAAACCAAAUUCACUUAGUGUUGUUUGAUACAUUCAAACAUUAAUGUUUACUUCUUUGACAGCGAGAGAGAGAAUGAGAAACUUGUUUAAAUAUUUAUCCGUGAAAUUACUAAACAGGAAACUGAUAGCAUACAGGCAAGGAAGUAAUUUCAACCAGAGUGUGAGAUAGAAGCACAAUGAAACCACAUUCCAAAGAUGAAUAGACUUUAAUCAAUCUAAAAAUUCAGUGCUCUUAUCAUUUCAAAAAAAAAAAAGGUUAGGUAUAUUAAAAUGAGCACAAGCAAAUCUAUACCAUGAAGGGCCUAUAUAUCAUGCCCACAAUGUGAAGGUGAUCUGAACUUUUUGGGCAAUAGAGUGGAACUGAGUUUUGCUUGAAUAUAUGCCUAUUCUCUGAAUCCAAAGGAGAACCACAUAACUGACAGCCAACACAAGUAAAAUCUUCUGCUAUAGUACUAUCUUCAACGUUGUUUAUUCUCCUACUAACAAACAUCUUUUCCUUAUCAGAAUCGCCUAGUGCUCUCCAGGUAAUUGGUAGGAAAAUUUCACCUGCAGAUGCAUUAAAGACUGCCUUGCAGGAAUUCCUUAGCUGCAAUACUUCUGAAAGCAGGAAAAUAUCCCGAGAUUCACUUUGUUCCGGUACUGUCCAGUUCCUUGGCAGCUGCCUCUUCUGAAAGCUGCUGAGCCGAAUGUUGUAAAGAGAAGAACCAGCUCGCUGCACCCAUUUUAUUACCUUCACAAACUUUUCCAUAGUCGUUUUACCUACUCGACAUUCCCCAAUUAAGUCAUCAACACCUUUAGAGAUAAGCAAUUCAUAAGGAUGGAUCAGACAUUUUAAGGAGGAAAACUGGACAGUUCUAGCGUCAACGACACAUCCAAAUUUAGCGAUUUUGACAUUUUGCAACAAUACGACAUCACCGGCAACUGCCUUAGCUGCCAUUUGCUUUUGCCACAAUGAGACUGAGAAAAACGGUAGCGUAUCAUCGCCAACCUGAAUGUCCGUCCUGAUUACUUCCCCCCCUGUUGAUAGCUUAUACUGAACGGGAUUGCACCGGUGAACAAAAACGAGAAGCUGAACAAAGUCGCCGAUGUGAGAAGUAGCUUUGGAGAGAUCGAUAAGCGGUCCGUACCAUCCGAUUGCUGACGUCAUCUUUCAUGUUAUGCCGCAAGAUUCGGAUGCUAUGGAACUUUCGAGAAGGGUAAUUUUGGCGCUUAAAACAAAUUUUCAUUUAGGGCAUCGGAUGACAGGGCAUCUGAUUCCGCAUGGAUGGGAAUUAGGAUAUUUUUAUUUCUUGCUUCGUUCUUUCAGAGUUCUAUUGUGUCGCAACCAACAUUGUCUUGCUUUACUGCUUCAUCGUAUUGGGAAUGAGAUUUCAUCCAAAUUUAAUAGAACAGCCAUUUAACAUUGUGGUAUAAAGAAUUUUCAAAAAUACAAUAAAAAUGACAAGCUCAAUUGCCAACGGAAGCAGCAAGUUUUAAGCAAUCGCGUACGCAUGAAAACCUUCAAGUGAUGUUCUAAAAUUGAGUUGAGAAGAAUGAUUCAAGUAAUGGUUUUAUCAUUUCUUUCCCGCUAAACAAAAAAGCCUUGUUAAUCGAUUUUGACAGAAGAAUACUUUCCGAUGCAUCUUGUCCAUAAGAAAAGAGCAACUCAGCCACCCAAAAUUAAAACUUAUUGGGCCGCGGCUGCACUAAUUCAAAUUACAAGAGAAAUAAUAAUCAUAAAAAUUCGCUCCGAACCCUGCCCAAUUUUUUUAUAAUCUAUGGAACCGGCCUUAAAAAAACAAGGGCCAACUCCAUUCAGCAGCUUUCGUUAAAAACAGCCACCAAAACUACAAGGCCCGUCAACAUCUACACCUUCCAGACUUGGGAAAAUAUCCGCGAUUCCAAACCACAGAUUUUCUUUAUCUGACUAUUUCUACUAUGCACUAAAUCCUUAUCUACAACAGACCUUUACCAGCUCUGUUAGGCUUCAUCUCCAUGAGCUCAUUCACUUGCAGAACUUAGGACUCACGGUUCCGAAUGUAAGCUCACGUGUCAUGAUUUAGCUAAAAUAUGAGCUCACAUAUAGCCUCACCCCAAUAUCAAUGGGUCCAUCAUCCCCGCCAACCGCAUGAAGUGCAACAGGAAUUGUUGAAAGGAGACGGACAGUGAGGGGGAAAACAACAGGCUCAAUCUCAGACUCUGAAACAGGAUCUACAUGCCGGGAUGCCAAACCAUUCUUGCCUGAAGGUGUAACAUUGCACUCAUUCGCAAACCUUCCAACUGUGCCAGCUUCCGCAUUCAGGUUACAUGGACUUAUGACCCAUGCAACCUCAUUAAGUGCUCUGUAAUUACCAGGGCUAGCCCUUUUAAAUGUGCGUUUGUAGGCACACAAAUUUAGCACCAAUGUUGAUGUAGCCUCAAGCCAUUCCACUGUCAAGCCUUCAACUUCCUCAUAAUAUAUCCUUCGUUCGAUCUGAAAGCUUACACAAGUGAGCAUUAGAAAACAACAUUCUACAACCUAAUAUGGACUCAUAAUAUGAACUAGUACAAAGCAACUUACAGCUAGUUUUUGGAUAUAAAUGGUCAUAAACCUGGGCCCCAGACCCAAAACUCUAGCAUCUGACAAUAAAAACUGCAGAAAAAAAGAAACGCAAAUAAUGAAGUCCUGACCACAUCUGUAGACAAAAUUGCGAUAAUCAAAUGGAGAUAAAUACAGACAGUCAGCUGUGAAUGGAGAAGGAAAAAAAAUACCUCUUUCUUCUUCAGCAAAACCCACAUGCAUAGCUUAUCACAGGCAUCUUUAACAUGCCUACUAGCCAGCUUUCUAUCAUUACUGUAAGCAGCAACACCCGCAAGUAAUUCAGUGCAGGGAACUCUAUGUUUGAUUGCUGCAGCUGAUAAUGCUUCCCUGCCUUCUGAGGAUUCUGCUGCAUCUUUAUCAAAGUAAAUACCAGUGAAAAAUCUUGUCAGUUCCUCUCCCAAUCUCACUUUAUGUGAUAUUUUUCUACUUCUUGUAUACAAUUCCUCUGCUUCAAUAGCUGCAGCCAAUGUCCGAUGUACAACUAUAUCAGGAUAUCGACGCAAGGGUGAAGUAAAAUGUGUGUACAGAGGAACAGCCAGUGCAUAAUGACCCCAAUCAUUGAUAUUAUCUUUCAUAACACCACUGCAAAAGUAGGUUGCCAACUGCAUUGGUCUUGAAGCAUAAGACAUCACAAUAUCGAACAACACACUGUCAUCCUUCAGCUUUUCUCUGAUGUGCUCCAACGACUGAUGGAAGUGACCAGAAGAAGUGUCCAUUUCUAGCCCAUGCUUGCAACAAAAAGCUUCAAACUCUCUAAGCUUCCGCAUAUUAGGUUCAGGAUGCCUCCGCAAUAGUGCACUAUCUGGGAAAGCUCUAGAUAUAACUUCAGCAGCUGUCCUAUUUGCCAAAAGCAUGAACUCCUCAACUAGAAAACUGGACUCCUCCUGCUCACAAAGCAUACUAUCAUAUGGAAUUCCAUAUUCAUCAAAUAGAAAAAAAAUUUUGGAACUUUCAAGCUGUAGAGCCCCAUCAUUAAACCUCUUCUGCCUCAAAGUCUUUGAAAUUUCAUGAAGAAUUUUGACAGAUCUAAUGACAUCUGGCCAUUUGAAAGGGCCAUGCAACAGAGGCAGGCGAUUUCCAAAUGUGUCAAAGAUCUCCUCACUAAUCAUCCCAUCAACCAUAUCCAAAGCAAGUUCAUAUGACAGCUUGCAACAAGAUCGUAUCACAGUGCGACCUAUCCAAUGAUCCAAGAUCUCUCCAACACUGUUCAAGUCCCAGAAAAUAGAAAAUGCAAGUCUAUCUUCUCCAGGGUUAAGUGAGCCCAGAUUCUCAGAAAGAAGGGGAGGUAACAUUGGUAAUUUGCGACGCAACAUAUAGACACUUGUUGAUCGACUCUGAGCUUCUUUGUCUAGGGCUGUAUCAGGCAACACAAAAUAUGACACAUCAGCAAUGUGAACACCAACUCUGACACUGCCAUUGGGCAACCUUUCAAAAGAAAGAGCAUCGUCUAAGUCAGUAGCAGUGGAAGGGUCGAUGGUAAAUAUGCACAAAUUUCUAAGGUCUCUUCUAAUUGUAAGCUCCUCUGCUGGCACUUCCCAAGCUUUGCUUGGCAAGCAAGAAAGAGAUUCAGAAUAAAAUUCAGAACAAUAAAUUGCAUUCUCAAAUAAAAUUGCAUUGAUUUGUGGCUCCAUUUCACUACCCCGUCCAAAAAUGUGUGAUACACGGGCAUAUGGAAAAGGACUUUCUUCAUCCCAAUUAUCAAUAUGUGCACCUACCAGCUCCAUCUCAAUUGUUGGGUCUCCUCUCUCCAAUCUUUUCUUGAUGGAGUCAGGCAAGCUUUGCAUAAGUACCAUCAUUUUGGGAAAUUUUGGAUCAGUUGGUGUAAGUUGAAUAUAUUCACAAGCAGAGAUGGAUGAUGAAUUUUUGUUCUCUUUUGCAUCUUUUUUAAAACCUUCCCUGUAGUAAAACCACUGCUUAACAUUUAAAAAACCAACAAUAGCAUCUCGACGAAGGGACCUUUCAAUGAUGGCAACGACUCUACCAGUUGGUCGUUUUAAUGGGUAUGAAUUAAUCAUAGCACAUAGCCUGUCCACACCAUUCAUAACUUCACUCUGCCCAGAAGAAUAACCAAAAUGUGAAGAAUCUGAAGCAGAGGGAUGAUACCCAUUACCAAAAUUAUAGUCCACUGGAACAUUCAGCUCCUGGUGAAUUCUUUCACCAGCACAAGAACUAUCAUCAUAAUGAAUUCCCUUCUGAGGAAUGGAGAAACUUUCAGGCUCAGCAUAUUUGUAAUCCACAUCCACUUUACUUUUACCCUUGCAGUUACCACCAGCUGUCUCACUGGCUUCUACAACCAAAUUGCAAUCUUCUGCCAAAGAAACAUUGACAGGUGGUCCAUUUGACCCUUUCAUCUUAGUCCAGAGUGGCAAUGGAUCAACCUUGAUGACCACUAUGUCCCCUUCCACCUGCAGGUGCAAAAAAAGUAAUUUCAAACUAUCAGAAAUCCCACCCUUUCAAAAGUGAACUGAAGUGUGUCUCUGAGCGUAUCAACAUUACACUCGUUGCUACAGAAGACAAGUAAAACACAGCAUUCCUUGCUACAGUAGACAAAUCAAUCAGGCAUCUAAUUCCAAAUGCAAUUCCAAGCCAUUAUCUGCAUUCUUAAUAAGGUAAAAAAAUGACAUAUAAACGUCACAAAUUAGAAAAUCUCUUAGAACCACUAAACUCUAGACUUACAGCUCUAUUCUGUGCAGCAAUGCCACUAAUGAGAACAUCUGUCAAAACUCCCUCAAUCUUGCAGUAUGCCUCAAGUCUAUUGUGGGCAUUUACUCGAAAUAAUGCUUUAAAUGCAUCAUCUUUCUCUACUGCCUCAUUAGUAGCCUCCAUGGACCAGUGUGGAGCAAAAAUUUUACCUCGAGAAUUAUCAUCAAAAUGAUAGAAAGGAAGCAAAUCCUUGUUCAUACAUCUUCCAAGGGGAACUCCACCAGCCAUUGGUUCAGGACAUGAUCUUGAAAAUGUUUGCCCACCAAGAUCAGAUGGCAGUAUGUGUUCCACUUCCUCAUUUAUAUGCAUAGUGGGCAUGGAAUUGAAAGCAACAUUUGACACGGAAGUCAGCCCAUGCUCACACAGAGCAUGAGCAUCUAAUUCUGGUUGCCUUGACAUAGAACACAUGGAUGACGCAUAACUUUUUGUUUUGACACCACUUCCACAUGCAUUUGACAACUCCCCGCGUGUUUCAUUCACUGGAUUAGGAGAGUUCUGCUUAGAUCGACGAUUAGAUCGGCGCUUAUUCUUCUUCUUCUCCUUAUCCUUAUCUCCACCGUCCUCAACCCUCUCAACCACCACAGACGACGAUUGCUCAGUAGCUCCCCUCAUGAUUCCACAAUAUUAGUCGACAAUUAAAUUAAAAAAUAUAUAUAUAAUUUAGCAGAAAACAAAACGCAAAAACAAAACAUUUAAAAAAUUUUGAACGGAUAAAACCCUAGAUCAGAUAACCAAAAAAACAGAAAUCAAAACAGAGGCAUCUUCCGAUUUGUGAAAAAAUAUACCCGGAAGAACCGAUAAGUCUGCGAAAUAGUAAAAAUAAAAAGCAAAAACGAAAAAAAAAUAAAGAAAAAGAAUCAAAGAGAAACAACAAGAAGAGGAAGGAAAGGAGGUAAUAGGGUUUUAUAAGAGAAAUCUUUCUCUAGAGAGAAAAUAAUACUAAAAAAUAAAAAUAAUAAAAGGUUAUAGAGAUAGAAAAAGAGUGGGUGGUAGGAAGUAAAAAAAAAAAAAAGAAGGAAAGGGACGUGAUGAUUGGUCGGCGAAGACAAGUAGCGCCGACUAUGGAUUCCUUUGUCUACUACUAACCACUAAUUCUACUCCUACUCUCUUCUGUUCUCUUGAUCUCCACCCAGCAGAGCACCUUGUUUUUUCUUUUCAUUUCCUUUCUCUUUUUUCUUUUUCUUUCACUUUCUUUUGUUUUCCCUUCACUUUCAGGAAGUGGUGUGUCUCCUUUUCUUUUUUUUGGUGGGAGAGUGGAUGGGGCUUUGGAUCAGGCGACAGGUGUAUGUGUUGGGACUGGUAGAAGCUAAAUUGCGCAGCGGGGAUAGGGAGCGCCUGAAUUUGAAGGAGAAGGCAGUGAAAUUUAUGUCUCCA